CGACAUUAUUAGGUUCAAAGACACUCCACAAUUUAAGCUAAAACUGGAUAAAGAGUAGAGUAACCUGCGUGCUGGAGGAUUAGACUUUAGAGCAGAAGGAAAGACUUUUGCUGAAGCAGCUGCUUCAGAUCACUGACUUGUUAAAGAUGUGUAACGAUUACUGCAGGAAAUUCCUCAUCAAAAUCUGCCUGUUUUGUUUCAGACUAAAACUCAUGAAAUCUGCAACUUUUCUUUCAAGCAGUUGGUAUCCAUCUGAAUAUUAGAUUUUGCAAGAUGUCUGACUGUUCCAAAG
rnacentral:lncRNA from 1 species